rnacentral:rRNA from 1 species
GUCUUAUUGAUAAUAAUUUUAAGUCUAAUCUGCCCAAUGAAAAAUUUUGAAUGGCUGCAGUAUCAAUAACUGUACAAAGGUAGCAUAAUAAUUAGUUUUUUAAUUGAAAACUAGAAUGAAAGAUUAAAUGAAAUAUAAACUUUAUAAAUAAAAUAAAAAUUUAAAUUAAAUUUUAAGUUAAAAUUCUUAAAUAUUAUUAAAAGACGAGAAGACCCUUUAGAAUUUUAUAUUAAUUAUAAUUAAAUUUAUAAUAAUUUUAAUAUAAAUUAUUAAUUAAUAUUUAAUUGGGGUAAUUUUAUAAUUAAAUAAACUUUUAAAUAAUUAUUACAUAAAUUAA